rnacentral:piRNA from 1 species
UGCCCUUUGAUCUCUUCAUAGUGGACAGAU